UUUUGUGAACGCUGCGGCAGGCCUAACCAUGCAAGUCGAGGGGUAGAGAGUGCUUGCACUCUUGAGACCGGCGCACGGGUGCGUAACGCGUAUGCAACCUACCUAUUGCAGGGGAAUAGCCCAGGGAAACUUGGAUUAAUGCCCCAUAGUCUAUGACAAGAGCAUUUGCGUCAUAGUAAAGAUUUAUCGGCAAUAGAUGGGCAUGCGUCCCAUUAGCUAGUUGGUAAGGUAACGGCUUACCAAGGCAACGAUGGGUAGGGGCCCUGAGAGGGGGAUCCCCCACACUGGUACUGAGACACGGACCAGACUCCUACGGGAGGCAGCAGUGAGGAAUAUUGGACAAUGGAGGAGACUCUGAUCCAGCCAUGCCGCGUGCAGGAAGACAGCCCUAUGGGUCGUAAACUGCUUUUACAGAGGAAGAAACACCCCGACGUGUCGGGGCUUGACGGUACUCUGCGAAUAAGGACCGGCUAACUCCGUGCCAGCAGCCGCGGUAAUACGGAGGGUCCGAGCGUUAUCCGGAAUCAUUGGGUUUAAAGGGUCCGUAGGCGGCGUCUAAGUCAGUGGUGAAAUUCUGCAGCUCAACUGUAGGACUGCCAUUGAUACUGGUCGCUUGAAUCGUUGUGAAGUGCUAGAAUAUGUAGUGUACGGUGAAAUGCUUAGAUAUUACAUAGAAUACCGUUGCGAAGCAGGUCACUAACACUUGUUGACCUUAUGGACCAAACGUGGGGACGACAGGAUUAAAUCCCUGGUAGUCACCCCGUAACAUGAUCUACUGUCCGCGCCAUUGUGUGUUGGCAACAAAGUAUAGAUCCACUGGGAUCCUCCAGAUGACUAAGAUGCGGGCCCCACGGGACUUUGUUAUUAUACCAGACUCCGGUAAUUUUAAGGUGAC
rnacentral:rRNA from 1 species